UCGAAACCUUAUGGUUCCUUUGAUCUUGAGAAACCAACAUGCUUGAUACUUCAUGACUUGUUUCAUGAAGAGUUGGGAGUAUCAGCCCACCAUUUUAAUCCGUUUGGAGGUGUCUACGUACAACAUGAGCCGUAUGCGGAUGGCGUCUGUGAUUGUUGUGCAAAGUUCGCAUAUUUGUGCUGAGCUUCAGACUUGAUGAGCAUUGCUUGAGUGCCGCCUCUAUGUUUGUACUGGUGGUUAGGCAUUAGGUUGUCACCAACCUUCUGCAACACCUGCUGGUCAGGAAAUCUUAAUGACUCGCACAGCGAGCGCCAGUACAGAUAACAACAUUUUACAUUUAACGUUUGAAGAAUCGUGACUUUAUGUCACAAUCGA
rnacentral:rRNA from 1 species